AGAGUUUGAUCAUGGCUCAGAUUGAACGCUGGCAGCAGGCUUAACACAUGCAAGUCGAGCGGAAACGAUGGGAGCUUGCUCCCAGGCGUCGAGCGGCGGACGGGUGAGUAAUACUUAGGAAUCUGCCCAGUAGUGGGGGAUAGCUCGGGGAAACUCGAAUUAAUACCGCAUACACCCCACGGGGAAAAGGGGGCGCUUGCGCUCUCGCUAUUGGAUGAGCCUAAGUCGGAUUAGCUAGUUGGUGGGGUAAAGGCCUACCAAGGCGACGAUCUGUAGCUGGUCUGAGAGGAUGAUCAGCCACACCGGGACUGAGACACGGCCCGGACUCCUACGGGAGGCAGCAGUGGGGAAUAUUGGACAAUGGGGGCAACCCUGAUCCAGCCAUGCCGCGUGUGUGAAGAAGGCCUUUUGGUUGUAAAGCACUUUAAGCAGUGAAGAAGACCUAACGGUUAAUACCCGUUAGCGAUGACAUUAGCUGCAGAAUAAGCACCGGCUAACUCUGUGCCAGCAGCCGCGGUAAUACAGAGGGUGCAAGCGUUAAUCGGAAUUACUGGGCGUAAAGCGAGCGUAGGUGGCUUGAUAAGUCAGAUGUGAAAUCCCCGGGCUUAACCUGGGAACUGCAUCUGAUACUGUUAGGCUAGAGUAGGUGAGAGGGAGGUAGAAUUUCAGGUGUAGCGGUGAAAAUGCGUAGAGAUCUGAAAGGAAUACCGAUGGCGAA
rnacentral:rRNA from 1 species